rnacentral:rRNA from 1 species
CGCCUACGGGGGCAGCAGUGAGGAAUAUUGGUCAAUGGACGCAAGUCUGAACCAGCCAUGCCGCGUGCAGGAAGAAGGUGCUAUGCAUUGUAAACUGCUUUUAUACGGGGGUAAUUACAGAUACGUGUAUCUGGAUGAAAGUACCGUAUGAAAAAGCAUCGGCUAACUCCGUGCCAGCAGCCGCGGUAAUACGGAGGAUGCGAGCGUUAUCCGGAUUUAUUGGGUUUAAAGGGUGCGCAGGCGGCGAGUUAAGUCAGCGGUAAAAUUUCGGGGCUCAACCCCGCCGAGCCGUUGAAACUGGCUUG